CAACUGCGUGAAUUAAUGUGAAUUGCAGACACAUUGAACAUUGACACUUUGAACGCACAUUGCGGAAGCGGGGUUUUCCCGCUUCCACAUCUGUCUGAGGGUGAUAUGGAAAAUAACAUCGCUCACUCUGUGACUGGUAUGGAACCAAUACUGGUCAUGGGGCACGGUGAGCGGGUUUGACUCGCUGCCAGAGUUCUCUUUGGUACCGAGUUUAAGUACGGGUAGGCGGGUGAAUCUCUCUUUCUUUAGAAAGAGCCCGCCGUCACUCUUUACAGGAUGCGCUGGUCUUGCCCACCGGGGACCAGGCUUGCCGGUGAAUCUUUCGGCAGCCUUUUCUCUGGUCGAAUCCGGGCUUGAACGGCCGUCUCUCAUUUCUUCACCUCAGCUCAGGUGUGAUUAC
rnacentral:misc_RNA from 1 species